AUGGCUUUCUUUUGGGCAUGUUGU
rnacentral:siRNA from 1 species